UACGUAGGGCGCAAGCGUUGUCCGGAAUCAUUGGGCGUAAAGAGCUCGUAGGUGGUCUGUUACGUCUGCUGUGAAAACCUAGGGCUUAACCCUGGGCCUGCAGUGGAUACGGGCAGACUAGAGGUAGGUAGGGGAGAAUGGAAUUCCCGGUGUAGCGGUGAAAUGCGCAGAUAUCGGGAGGAACACCGGUGGCGAAGGCGGUUCUCUGGGCCUUACCUGACACUGAGGAGCGAAAGCGUGGGAGCGAACAGG
rnacentral:rRNA from 1 species